GGUUUCAUGGCGAAGUGGUUAUCGCGCUUGUCCAGUGUGCUGAGUUCGAAGUAUGGGCGUCGUUGGGCAGGAGGACCCAGUUCGAUCCUGCGUGGAAUCA